UAGCAUAUCAAUAAGCGGAGGAAAAGAAACCAACAGGGAUUGCCUUAGUAACGGCGAGUGAAGCGGCAACAGCUCAAAUUUGAAAGCUGGCUCCUUCGGAGUCCGCGUUGUAAUUUGUAGAGGAUGAUUCGGCGAGGGCUCCCGCCUAAGUCCCCUGGAACGGGGCGUCAUAGAGGGUGAGAAUCCCGUAUGCGGUGGGUUGCCUUAGCCAUGUGAAUCUCCUUCGACGAGUCGAGUUGUUUGGGAAUGCAGCUCUAAAUGGGAGGUAAAUUUCUUCUAAAGCUAAAUACCGGCCAGAGACCGAUAGCGCACAAGUAGAGUGAUCGAAAGAUGAAAAGCACUUUGGAAAGAGAGUUAAAAAGUACGUGAAAUUGUUGAAAGGGAAGCGCUUGCAGCCAGACUUGUCCGCAGUUGCUCAACCGGUCUCCUGACCGGUGUACUCUUCUGCGGCCAGGCCAGCAUCAGUUCGGGCGGUCGGAUAAAGGCCCUGGGAAUGUAGCUCCUCUCGGGGAGUGUUAUAGCCCAGGGUGGAAUGCGGCCAGCCUGGACUGAGGAUCUCGCUUCGGCUAGGAUGCUGGCGUAAUGGCUGUAAGCGGCCCGUCUUGAAACACGGACCAAGGAGUCUAACAUCUAUGCGAGUGUUUGGGUGUCAAACCCAUGCGCGUAAUGAAAGUGAACGGAGGUGGGAACCCUCACGGGUGCACCAUCGACCGAUCCUGAUGUCUUCGGAUGGAUUUGAGUAAGAGCAUAGCUGUUGGGACCCGAAAGAUGGUGAACUAUGCCUGAAUAGGGUGAAGCCAGAGGAAACUCUGGUGGAGGCUCGCAGCGGUUCUGACGUGCAAAUCGAUCGUCAAAUUUGGGUAUAGGGGCGAAAGACUAAUCGAACCAUCUAGUAGCUGGUUCCUGCGA
rnacentral:rRNA from 1 species